ACGAAAUGGAAAGGAGAAAGAUGAGAGGUAAAAGAGAAAGAAGAAGAGAAAAGAAGGAGAAGGAAGAAGUGUACAACAGUCUUUCUUGCUGCUGUAUACUCACUCGGCUACUGUUGUUCAGCCAUGGAAGCUGUAGAAGGUGAGUGCAUGAAAGUAGGUUGUACUCUUUACUUCAAGAAGGUGCUGAUUGGGUCUUAAUUCAGCUGAAAUUUGGAAUGAAUGGAUGAUCUAGUUGUAUGCAUGCAUCAAGAGAAUACAAAAGAUCAGUAAGCACGUGUUGGUGGAGCACAGAUGGAUGUGAAGUGAAGACGAGUUCUAUUUUAUUUUAGUAGUUGAGUUAAAAACAAUUAUAAUAGACUUAUUAAAGUUUUAUUUGUAGCCACCAAACAUAUGAUGGUCAGUUGAUAGAUUAUGGACUUUAGUUCAAUUUUCUAUUUAUGAGUGCUUUCCGUUGUGUUUGUUCGGUCUAUGUAGUAAAUUUAUGAAUUUAUAUGGAUAAUCUAUGAGAUAUUAGUUUUAUUUUUCUGAUCA